CAAACGCUUGGUGAUAUCGGAUCGGCGAAAAGAAAGUUUAUAUCCUCCUAUAAAUAUCGUACUAAAGAGUUUCUGAAAAAUGCCGUAAGCUAAGAAUAUUACGUGAAAGACGUUGCUAUCAAAAUGUUAACGCAGAAUCAGAGAUCGUAAUCAGAUAACCCGAACGAAUUCGAAGAGCU